GUUUGCGAUCAUACCAGCACUAAAGCACCGGAUCCCAUCAGAACUCCGAAGUUAAGCGUGCUUGGGCGAGAGUAGUACUAGGAUGGGUGACCUCCUGUGAAGUCCUCGUGUUGCAUUCC
rnacentral:rRNA from 1 species